AAGAAAUUAUAUUUUUUACAGGGAUCAAUGAGUUCUGUUUUGAGCAUGUUGCUUUUAAAAGGUCCAUGGAAUAUUCAUGCAUUCUAUUAUAUCCCACUUUCCUUCCAGAGAUCCAGAUAGACAACCAGACUGAUGAUUCUGCUCCAAAAGCUUGGAUUGCCUUUGAAAGGGGAAAGAAAUAUUCAUGGUGCCCAUUUAGUGUUUCUCUUUGGGAUAGAAGAAGCUAGUUAAAAAAAGUCACUGUUCUCUGAAGAUGAACCCCAGUCUUCCCUAUUCCCAAGAUCUAGACAUAAGGCAAAUUCUAAUGUCCUCAAGGAAAACUCUGGGAAGGAGAAGAAUGAACCAGAGAUCUUCAUGAAGCUCAGAAGACUGAACCUGAUGCAGGUAAACUCAGAACUUCAGUUCUGGGUUAUUAGGUACACAGCUUUAC
rnacentral:lncRNA from 1 species